GGCAUUGUGGUCCAGUGGAGAGAGCACAGGACUGGGAAUCUGGAAACCUGGAUUCUAUUCCCAGCUGUGCCA
rnacentral:tRNA from 1 species